rnacentral:rRNA from 1 species
UGACGAAAAAACGUAAAUGCUGCGAACUGACGGAAUAGUUCGUUUAAGCCCGUAGGGUUACACUUGGUAGGCAAAUCCGCCAGGUGUCUGAAAGGUGAAAGUACCUUGAGUCGUCAGACAAGAGGAUAUGCAUCCAAGUAUGUUUCCGAGAAAAACUUCUAAGCUUCAGGUGAGUAUUACCCGUACCGCAAACCGACACAGGUAGUCAAGUAGAAUAUACUAAGGCGCUCGAGUGAUCCGUGGCUAAGGAACUAGGCAAAUUAACCCCGUAACUUCGGGAGAAGGGGUGCCUCCAGCAAUGGAGGCCGCAGAGAAAUGGCGGUGGCGACUGUUUAACAAAAACACAGGGCUUUGCAAAAACGAAAGUUGAAGUAUAAGGCCUGACACCUGCCCGGUGCUGGAAGGUUAAGAGGAGAGGUCAUCGCAAGAGAAGCUUUGAAUCGAAGCCCCAGUAAACGGCGGCCGUAACGAUAACGGUCCUAAGGUAGCGAAAUUCCUUGUCGGGUAAGUUCCGACCUGCACGAAUGGUGUAACGAUCUCCGCUCUGUCUCAGCCACGAGCUCGGUGAAAUUGUGGUAUCAGUGAAGACGCUGAUUACCCGCAACGGGACGGAAAGACCCCAUGCACCUUUACUAUAGCUUAACAUUGAUUUCGGGUAAGUGAUGUAUAGAAUAGGUGGUAGGCAUUGAAGCCGAGGCGCUAGCCUUGGUGGAGCCGAAAUGUGAAAUACCACCCUUCUCGUUCCUGAUGUCUAACCGCGGUCCCGAAACGGGAUCCGAGACAGUGUAUGGUAGGCAGUUUGACUGGGGCGGUCGCCUCCCAAAGAGUAACGGAGGCGCGCGAUGGUAGGCUCAAUCCGGUCGGAAAUCGGAUGUUGAGUGCAAUGGCAAAAGCCUGCCUGACUGCAAGGCCGACGGGCCAAGCAGAGACGAAAGUCGGUCAUAGUGAUCCGGUGAUCCCGCGUGGAAGGGUCAUCGCUCAACGGAUAAGAGGUACGCCGGGGAUAACAGGCUGAUCGCACCCAAGCGUCCAUAGCGACGGUGCGGUUUGGCACCUCGAUGUCGGCUCAUCACAUCCUGGGGCUGUAGCCGGUCCCAAGGGUAUGGCUGUUCGCCAUUUAAAGUGGUACGUGAGCUGGGUUUAGAACGUCGUGAGACAGUUCGGUCCCUAUCUGCCGUGGGUGUUCGAAACUUGAGAGGACUUCUUCCUAGUACGAGAGGACCGGAAGGAACGUAUCUCUGGUGGAUCGGUUGUCACGCCAGUGGCAUAGCCGAGUAGCUAAAUACGGAAUAGAUAACCGCUGAAAGCAUCUAAGCGGGAAACUAACCUCAAAACCAGGUUUCGCUUGAGAGCCGGGGAAGACUACCCCGUCGAUAGGCCAGGUGUGUAAGCGCAGCAAUGCGUUGAGCUUACUGGUACUAAUUGCUUGA